rnacentral:lncRNA from 1 species
GCAUAUAUACAGAGAAAACUAUAAUUCAAAAGGAUACAUGCACCCCUAUGUUCAUUGCAGCCCUAUUCACAAUAGCCAAAACAUGGAAACAAUCUAAAUGUCCAUUGACAGAUGGAUGGAUUAAGAAGAUGUAGUACAUAUAUACAAUGGAAUACUACUCAGCCAUAAAAAAGAAUGAAAUAAUGCAACUAGAAUUCUCAUACUAAGUGAAGUAAGAAAGACAAAUACCAUAUGAUACCACUUAUAUGCGAAUGUAAAAUAUGGCACAAAUGAGUUCCUGCUGUUGUGCAACAGGAUUGGCAGCAUAUCUGGAGCACAAGGUCUCAGGUUCAAUCCCUGGCCUAACAGUGGGUUAAGUAUCCAGCAUUGCUGCAGCUUCAACAUAGGUCACAACUGCAUCUUGGAUCUGAUCCCUGGGCCAGGAGCUCCAUAUACUGCAGGGUGGCUGAAAAAGGAAAAAAUAUAUAUAUAUGGCACAAAUGAACCUACCUACAAAACAGAAACAGACUCACAAAAUGUGGAGAACAGAUUUGUGGUUGCCAAGGGGGAAGAGAAGGGAGUGGGAUGGACUGGGAGUUUGGGAUUGGUAGAUGCAAAGUAUUACAUUUAGAAUGGAUAAACAACAAGGUCCUACUGUAUAGCAGGAGAACUAUAGAUAAUCUCCUGAGAUAGGCCAUGAUGGAAAAUAAUAAAAAAGAGUGUACAUAUACAUGUGACUGAGUCACUGCUAUACAAUAGAAAUUGGCACAACAUUGUAAUCAACUAUACCUAAAGUUUUCUUUAAAAAAAAUACUAAAAGGAAAUAGAGUUAAUCCACAAAUAGGUCAUUCUGUUCAACUUCCCUAAAGACACAAGCUGGCAAUUAAGUCAUAAAGACCAAUUUGUCAGCAAACCAACUGUCCAAAGGCCUCCUAAUCCAGAACACAGUGUUUUGAAAGGACAUACAAAAUCUACCAUGCCCCACACAACCUGGCCAGGAUUGCAUUUGAAGAGUAAAGGUCAGCAAUGGACAAUUUCCACUGGACAGGUUAGGAAGGUCACCAAAAGGCCAGUGAAGUGCCUAGUAGCUGGGGAACAAAAUCCAAGGGCCAGGGUCUCUAAUGAUGCUUUCCUUUCUCCUCCCACCAGAAGAGCACACCAGACCCUCCCUCAUCUCUGAUUCCUUGGCCAUUAAGAAGGUCCAACAGGGAGUCACUGCUGUGGCGCCGUGGGUUAAGAAUCCAACCUCAGUGGCUCUGGUUGCCAUGGAGGCACAGGUUCAAUUCCCCAGCCUAGUGCAAUGGGUUAAAGGAUCUAGUGCUGCCACAGCUGUGACACAGGUCACAGCUGCAGCUCAGAUUGAAUCCCUGGCCUGGGAACUUCAAUAUGCCGUGGGCACAGCCAUCAAAAAAUUUUUAAAAAGGUCAAAAUCUUACAAAGGCUCCAGCAGCAUAUGGAAUCCCAGGGAUAGAACACAAGCAGGAGCUGCGACCUGUGCCACAGCUGCAGCAACAGUGGAUCCUUAACCCACUACGCCAAGCUGGGGAUCAAACCAGCACCUGCACAGAAAUAAGCCAGAUCACUAAAUCACUGCACCACAGCAGAAACUCUCUGUCACUUAUUAUUAGGACUUUCAACACUUUCACUUCUUUCAUAUGUAUCAGAUAUAUGUUAACAAUGUUCAUUAAGCUGCUCAAACCUAGGCAAAGUCACAGCGAACGCACCUGAUGAAUGACAAUGCCAGAGACCAAGAUAGACAGUCAAUAAGCUGCUGGUGGCAGAAAGAGUUGGAAAUUUGCCCUCUAUACAACUUUGUGGCUGCAAGAAAUGUCUCAAGUAGAGGAGUUCCUGUAUGUAUAAGGAAUUUAGCAAAUGCCAGGCAUUGUGCCAGGAGCUGGGAAUCCCAUGGGGAGCAAGAGAGACCUAGCCUCUGAUCUCCCCAAAUUCUCAAUCUAACAGAGGGGAUAGAUCAGGAAAUGGGCAACUGCCAUGCGGUGUGGUGAAAUGAUAGGGAGCUAUAGAAGCACAGAGAAAGGUCACCUAAUUCAGACUUGGCAGGCAGAGAAGUCUUAUGGAGGAUAAGAAGACUUAUGGAGGAUGAACAAGCUGAGACUGGAAGAACAAGUAGGAUUGGGUCAGAUAAAGAUAGAGGAGGGUCCUACUGGGGGAACAUGGCCUGUUUAGGCAACUGAAAGUACUUCAGUCCCGCAGGAUGCAAACUAUGAUGAGGGAAGCCAAGCCACGUAAGGCCCUAUAAGCCAUGAGGAGGGAGUGAGGUUGCGGGUUCGACCCCUGGCCUCGCUCAGUGGGUUAAGGAUCCGGCAUUGCCGCGAGCUGGGGUGUGGGUCACAGACUCGGCUCGGCUCGGAUCCCACGUUGCUGUGGCUGUGGUGUAGGCCAGUAGCUACAGCUCCGAUUAGACCCCUAGCCUGGGAACCUCCAUAUGCCGCAGGAGGGGCCCUAGAAAAA